UACAGGGUCAGUAGUUAUAUACAGGGUCAGUUCCAGGGUCAGUAGUUAUAUACAGGGUCAGUAGUUAUAUACAGGGACAGUUCCAGGGUCAGUAGCUAUAUACAGGGUCAGUAGUUAUAUACAGGGCCAGUUACAUGGUCAGUAGCUAUAUACAGGGUCAGUAGCUAUAUAGAGGGUCAGUAGUUAUAUACAGGGACAGUUCCAGGGUCAGUAGCUAUAUACAGGGUCAGUAGUUAUAUACAGGGUCAGUUCCAGGGUCAGUAGCUAUAUACAGGGUCAGUAGUUAUAUACAGGGUCAGUAGCUAUAUACAGGGUCAGUAGUUAUAUACAGGGUCAGUAGCUAUAUACAGGGUCAGUAGUUAUAUACAGGGUCAGUAGUUAUAUACAGGGUCAGUAGCUAUAUACAGGGUCAGUUCCAGGGUCAGUAGCUAUAUACAGGGUCAUUAGCUAUAUACAGGGUCAGUUCCAGGGUCAGUAGUUAUAUACAGGGUCAGUAGUUAU
ensembl:lncRNA